CGUUCGCUGUUUUGAGCGUUUUCCCAGUAAGUUUUAGCAAUGCCUCAAAUAUGCUGUGUGGUGUAAUGCAGCCACACAUCUUUAAUUGCCGUCUAAUACGUUUUCCGUCAGACAAAGAAAGAAGUUCUACUUGAGAAGCUUAUAUACGACGUAAAGACUGGAAGAGAAAAGUACCUACACCACAGAAUUUGUGAGUGCCACUUCGACAGUCAUCAGUAUGAAUUAAAUCGUUCUGAUGGAAACCGUAAGCUGCGUCGAGAUGCUGUGCCAUUAAUUUUUCCUACUCACAGGAUCUGUGGACAGAAUGCUUUUUUUGUCCAGAAACCUGUUUCGUGCAUUGGUGCCUCUUCUGAGAAGUUUGAAGUACACACCGAUGAUGUUAGACUAAUGGCCAUUGGUUUACGCAAACUUGGAUUAUAAACAAUCUCAAACGAAAUGUAAACAAAUUUGAACUUUACAUAAAA